GAACGGAAUUGAAACUUCGGUGGAUUCUAGUGGCGGACGGGUGAGUAACGCGUGGGUACCCGCCUUAUACUGGGGGAUAACAGCCAGAAAUGACUGCUAAUACCGCAUAAGACCGCAUGGUAAAAACUCCGGUGGUAUAAGAUGGACCCGCGUUGGAUUAGCUAGUUGGCAGGGCAGCGGCCUACCAAGGCGACGAUCCAUAGCCGGCCUGAGAGGGUGAACGGCCACAUUGGGACUGAGACACGGCCCAGACUCCUACGGGAGGCAGCAGUGGGGAAUAUUGCACAAUGGGGGAAACCCUGAUGCAGCGACGCCGCGUGAAGGAAGAAGUAUCUCGGUAUGUAAACUUCUAUCAGCAGGGAAGAUAAUGACGGUACCUGACUAAGAAGCCCCGGCUAACUACGUGCCAGCAGCCGCGGUAAUACGUAGGGGGCAAGCGUUAUCCGGAUUUACUGGGUGUAAAGGGAGCGUAGACGGCGCAGCAAGUCUGAUGUGAAAGCAGGGGCUUAACCCCUGGACUGCAUUGGAAACUGCUGUGCUUGAGUGCCGGAGGGGUAAGCGGAAUUCCUAGUGUAGCGGUGAAAUGCGUAGAUAUUAGGAGGAACACCAGUGGCGAAGGCGGCUUACUGGACGGUAACUGACGUUGA
rnacentral:rRNA from 1 species